rnacentral:rRNA from 1 species
GGGGAAUUUUGGACAAUGGGGGCAACCCUGAUCCAGCAAUGCCGCGUGUGUGAAGAAGGCCUUCGGGUUGUAAAGCACUUUUGUCCGGAAAGAAAACUUCGGGGCUAAUACCCCUGGAGGAUGACGGUACCGGAAGAAUAAGCACCGGCUAACUACGUGCCAGCAGCCGCGGUAAUACGUAGGGUGCGAGCGUUAAUCGGAAUUACUGGGCGUAAAGCGUGCGCAGGCGGUGCUGUAAGACCGAUGUGAAAUCCCCGGGCUUAACCUGGGAACUGCAUUGGUGACUGCAGCGCUGGAGUAUGGCAGAGGGGGGUGGAAUUCCACGUGUAGCAGUGAAAUGCGUAGAGAUGUGGAGGAACACCGAUGGCGAAGGCAGCCCCCUGGGCCAAUACUGACGCUCAUGCACGAAAGCGUGGGGAGCAAAC